GGCUUAGCUCAGUUGGUAGAGCAACUGAUUUGUAAUCAGUAGGUCGCGGGUUCGACUCCUGCAGCCGG
rnacentral:tRNA from 1 species